GCAGAUUCCUCAUGAACGGAUUUAAAUCUGGCAAUGAUGGAGUGCUGGUAACGUAUUGCCAUAUCAGCACGGUGGGCUACUUGGAGAGAAACGUGCAGAUGCCAGUAUUCCCAGGCACCCGCUGUUCUUGUCCUUCUUGGUGGGAGAAGUCAUGGGUUUGGGAGAUAAUGUUGGAGUAGGCCAGAACAUGUGGGGAAAGAAUGAUAUAGAAAAUGAAGAACAGAAGAGGAGGUUUUCUCCCAGUUGUAUAAUGUUUCAGCUACCAACUCUGAUAAAACUAUUAUUCACUUGAACAAACAGAUAAAAGUUCACUCAGCUAAAAGAAGAGAUCUCCAUUGGUAAAGUACUCCCUCAGAAGCUCACCAAAAGCUUAGAAACCAUCAGCUUUCUCCACUUGAUAACUCAGCUAAAGCCUGGAGGUUAACCAGCACAGCUAAUGGUGCUGGAGCCAAUCCGCUGAUCCCUGUCAAUGCUUGCGACGUCCAGCUGCAUCCAAAUAGGUUUUCAGUUGUAGAGAGCUAAACAACCUGAGCUGGAACACCUGAGAAGCAGAGCAGGCUCCUAGAGACAAGGGGGCCUCUGGCAGCAUACCUCUGAAGUCCUGCCCUCGAAAUGUCGCAGCGGCUUUUGACAGGUUGAUGCAGAAUGUGAGGCUCCUCUCUCCUACAUGUCAGUGCUCUGCUCCUGCAGUGGAGCAGGAGAUCAGAUGACUUUGUUGCUUCAUACCUGCACAUUCGGUCCAGCAUGCACAAAGUCCAGAAUGAGCCGAGCUGUGAGAGGCAGACAGGCAGUGGUUUCCUGCCGAAUACCUUUGAGAUCCACUGGUGGUCAAUCAGCUCGAUUCGGCCCAUUGAUUCUUCAAAAGGAAACGAAGUGGAUAUGGAUAAGGAGCAAUGCAGCAUAUAGUUUAUUGGGCUACAGAUAACAGGAUAGCUGAUGAAAUAGAUCACAGGAUGGCAAUAGCAAG